UUUUUUUUUUUUUUUUUUUUUUUUUUUGAAGUUCCUCUGUUUCUUAGGAAAAACUUGGUGGCUACAAAAUGCUGACUUAGAAAGAGGCAGUUGUUUCCCUGUAAUCUUGUGCCUUGCUUUGUUUGCCAUUGCUUUUUGAAUUUACUUCAUGAUGCUAAUGAUGCAGAUUUGUCAGUCCUUACCAGGACAAAUAUCUGAAUUACCUGAAUGCAGUAGCUUUUAAAAUAUUGAUAUUAUUAGCCGGAGUAGGUAUUCACCUAAAAACAGGUGGUCACCUAGUCUGGAACGACAGGUAAAUACAAAACAAAUGGUCUGUUGGUAUUUACAUUACAAUAUAUGAUAAAAUAAUUUUAUCCGUGUUUCUAGGCUUUAUGGCUAUCCUGUUUAGAACUGAAAUUCUGUAAUAGCAGUUUAGAGUAUUUAUUUAGCCAAAUAUUGAUUAAGCAGAGAUUAAGCUGCUUGAAGCUCCAAUAUUAUAAUAUCAAGAUAGAUCUCAAGUUUUGCUAAGCCCUUGAAGAUAUGAGAUGCACCUAGAAAUUCUUGUUGCUGUAUAUGAUAAUCCUUAUAGUUCAGUUCGUCAAACAUUAAAAAAAAUCCUACUGGGUGCCAGGCACUGUGCUGGGAAUUUAGACACAAAAGCACAUGUUACUGCCCUUUAGACACUAAAGAGAAUUGCAGUCUAACAUGUUACAUGUUGAAGAGGUUUGUCAAGGGUCCUCCUGUUCCUCUUGUUUGAAAAGUAAAGGAGAGGCAUUUAACCAACCUGGGUUUUAGCAAAGCUUUGUGGGUGAGGUGACCUUCUAUGUCAAGAUAUGAAGGGUAUAUGAGAAGACUUAGCCUUUUAAGGAAAAGUAUAAAGAACAUUUCAGACUGAAAAAUAUAACAGACAUGUGAAGGCAAAAAAAAAAAAAAAGAAUGUGGCAGGAAAUGAUGCUGGUAUGUACCUGGCCUCAGAGGCUUUUGUGUGUCAUGCAGUAGGGCUUUAGCUUAUAGGUAGUGGGUAACUAAUGAUGGGAUCAAAGCAGACUAUUUUUAAUUCAACCAACCUACAACCAAGUAAACCUUUAAUGUGUAAAAUAUAUUUUGCUAUUGCAAAUGGAUAAGUCUCUGCAUUUAGAGUCUAGUCGUAUAUAUUCACAGCCACCUUUUUUUUUUUUUUUUUUUUUUUACCCAAAGGCAUUUGCUAAUUGUUUGCCCAUUAUUAAAAUAGUACCUGCUUAGUGUAGAUACUUUAAAUACUAGGAAAGUAUAAAUACUGCCAUAUUGCCACCACCCAAAGAUAACCACUAUUAACAUUUUGCUUUAGUUUUCCAAUCUUUUCUUCUAUUUGCUUUUAUGUUUUUGCCACAAAAUUAUCACAGUGUAUAUACUUUUUGUGUCUUCCUUUUUUCACUUAAUAUUAUAGGAGCUAAAAAUAUUCUUUGAAAGCAUGAUUUUUGAAUAUGUAGUUUCCUAUUAUUUAGGUAUAUUUAAAUACUUUUUGGACUUUGGGGUUCAUUCAUUCAAUGAGUUUGUUUUUUUCAUUAUUAUAAAUAAUAUUUUACUGAGCAUAAAUCUUCAUUACAUUUAAGAUCCAUAUUGACUCUUUAGAAACUUGAGAGCAGAAAAUUCUUACUCAUAAAAUUAGUUCUGCUAGAGUUCUUAUGAAUAGAUCACUUUGUAGCUGAUAUAUUACAGCAUAAGAUAAACAUCUUAGAUUCUAGAAUCUAGGUGAGGUGAACAUCUCAGAAUCCAGAGCCUAUACUUUGUCUCUAUGAUUGAACUUGACAUGUCCUUAUAUUUCCCAAGGCCUGAUUGAUGGACAGUGUUGGGAAUGAGCUCAGUUUAUAUCCGUGAUACAGGUACAUCCCUUCUUUCUGUAUAAAUGUACAACUCAUAAGCAGGCAUGUUUAUAGACUUCUAAAUUUAGGGAAAAAAACCUGUAAAAGCCCAAAGAUGACCUGAAAAAAAAAUAGAUUGAGCAUAGAAAUUGGUAAACAUUUUGAUUUUUCUGAGAGGAAUAUGUGACCA
rnacentral:lncRNA from 1 species